CCUACGGGUGGCAGCAGUGGGGGAUAUUGCACAAUGGGGGAAACCCUGAUGCAGCGACGCCGCGUGGGUGAAGAAGCGCCUCGGCGCGUAAAGCCCUGUCAGCAGGGAAGAAAAUGACGGUACCUGAAGAAGAAGCCCCGGCGAACUACGUGCCAGCAGCCGCGGUAAUACGUAGGGGGCAAGCGUUAUCCGGAUUUACUGGGUGUAAAGGGGGCGCAGACGGCGAUGCAAGCCAGGAGUGAAAGCCCGGGGCCCAACCCCGGGACUGCUCUUGGAACUGGGUGGCUAGAGUGCAGGAGGGGCAGGCGGAAUUCCGGGUGUAGCGGUGAAAUGCGUAGAUAUCAGGAGGAACACCGGUGGCGAAGGCAGCCUGCUGGACUGCAACUGACGUUGAGGCCCGAAAGCGUGGGGAGCAAACAGGAUUAGAUACCCCAGUAGUC
rnacentral:rRNA from 1 species